rnacentral:rRNA from 1 species
AUUGAACGCUGGCGGCAGGCUUAACACAUGCAAGUCGAGCGGAGAUGAGGUGCUUGCACCUUAUCUUAGCGGCGGACGGGUGAGUAAUGCUUAGGAAUCUGCCUAUUAGUGGGGGACAACAUUCCGAAAGGAAUGCUAAUACCGCAUACGUCCUACGGGAGAAAGCAGGGGAUCUUCGGACCUUGCGCUAAUAGGUGAGCCUAAGUCGGAUUAGCUAGUUGGUGGGGUAAAGGCCUACCAAGGCGACGAUCUGUAGCGGGUCUGAGAGGAUGAUCCGCCACACUGGGACGGAGACACGGCCCAGACUCCUGCGGGAGGCAGCAGUGGGGAAUAUUGGACAAUGGGGGGAACCCUGAUCCAGCCAUGCCGCGUGUGUGAAGAAGGCCUUAUGGUUGUAAAGCACUUUAAGCGAGGAGGAGGCUACUGAGACUAAUACUCUUGGAUAGUGGACGUUACUCGCAGAAUAAGCACCGGCUAACUCUGUGCCAGCCGCCGCCGUAAAAC